AAGAUCAGAAGCGAGAAUGUUGACAUGAGUAGCGACAAACAGGGUGAGAAACCCUGUCGCCGAAAGUCCAAGGGUUCCUGCUUAAAGCUAAUCUGAGCAGGGUAAGCCGGCCCCUAAGGCGAGGCCGAAAGGCGUAGUCGAUGGGAACCAGGUUAAUAUUCCUGGGCCAGGAGGAUGUGACGGAUCUCGAGGAUUGUCUGCCCUUAUCGGAUUGGGUGGGCCGUUUAGAGGUUCCUGGAAAUAGCCCUCCAUCAGACCGUACCCUAAACCGACACAGGUGGACUGGUAGAGUAUACCAAGGCGCUUGAGAGAACCACGUUAAAGGAACUCGGCAAAAUGCUCCCGUAAGUUCGCGAGAAGGGAGCCCCGUCUGUACGCAAGUAUGGGCGGGGGGCACAAACUAGGGGGUGGCGACUGUUUACUUAAAACACAGGGCUGUGCGAAGCCGUAAGGCGACGUAUACAGUCUGACGCCUGCCCGGUGCUGGAAGAUUAAGAGGAGGGGUGCAAGCUCUGAAUUGAAGUCCCAGUAAACGGCGGCCGUAACGAUAACGGUCCUAAGGUAGCGAAAUUCCUUGUCGGGUAAGUUCCGACCUGCACGAAUGGCGUAACGAUCUCCCCGCUGUCUCUAACGUGGACUCAGCGAAAUUGAACUGUGUGUCAAGAUGCACACUACCCGCGGUUAGACGGAAAGACCCCAUGAACCUUUACUCCAGCUUUGCACUGGUAUCAGGAUUGUGAUGUGCAGGAUAGGUGGUAGGCAUCGAAGCGGGGACGCCAGUUCCCGUGGAGCCUCCCUUGAGAUACCACCCUUCGCCAUCUUGAUAUCUAACCGCGGCCCGUUAUCCGGGUCCGGGACCCUGCAUGGUGGGGAGUUUGACUGGGGCGGUCGCCUCCCAGACAGUAACGGAGGCGCGCGAUGGUUGGCUCAGACCGGUCGGAAAUCGGUCGUUGAGUGCAAUGGCAGAAGCCAGCCUGACUGCAAGACUGACGAGUCGAGCAGAGACGAAAGUCGGUCAUAGUGAUCCGGUGGUCCCAAGUGGGAGGGCCAUCGCUCAACGGAUAAAAGGUACUCUGGGGAUAACAGGCUGAUGAUGCCCAAGAGUCUAUAUCGACGGCAUCGUUUGGCACCUCGAUGUCGGCUCAUCUCAUCCUGGGGCUGGAGCAGGUCCCAAGGGUAUGGCUGUUCGCCAUUUAAAGAGGUACGUGAGCUGGGUUUAGAACGUCGUGAGACAGUUCGGUCCCUAUCUGCCGUGGGUGCAGGAGACUUGAGAAGAGUUGACCCUAGUACGAGAGGACCGGGUUGAACGAACCACUGGUGGACCAGUUAUCGUGCCAACGGUAGUGCUGGGUAGCUAUGUUCGGACAGGAUAACCGCUGAAGGCAUCUAAGCGGGAAGCCCCCUUCAAAACAAGGUCUCCCUUGAGGGCCGUGGAAGACCACCACGUCGAUAGGCCAGA
rnacentral:rRNA from 1 species